UGGGACAAGCCCUGGAAACGGGGUCUAAUACCGGAUAACACCUGCCCGGGCAUCUGGGUGGGUUAAAAGCUCCGGCGGUGAAGGAUGAGCCCGCGGCCUAUCAGCUUGUUGGUGAGGUAGUGGCUCACCAAGGCGACGACGGGUAGCCGGCCUGAGAGGGCGACCGGCCACACUGGGACUGAGACACGGCCCAGACUCCUACGGGAGGCAGCAGUGGGGAAUAUUGCACAAUGGGCGAAAGCCUGAUGCAGCGACGCCGCGUGAGGGAUGACGGCCUUCGGGUUGUAAACCUCUUUCAGCAGGGAAGAAGCGAAAGUGACGGUACCUGCAGAAGAAGCGCCGGCUAACUACGUGCCAGCAGCCGCGGUAAUACGUAGGGCGCAAGCGUUGUCCGGAAUUAUUGGGCGUAAAGAGCUCGUAGGCGGCUUGUCACGUCGGGUGUGAAAGCCCGGGGCUUAACCCCGGGUCUGCAUUCGAUACGGGCUAGCUAGAGUGUGGUAGGGGAGAUCGGAAUUCCUGGUGUAGCGGUGAAAUGCGCAGAUAUCAGGAGGAACACCGGUGGCGAAGGCGGAUCUCUGGGCCAUUACUGACGCUGAGGAGCGAAAGCGUGGGGAGCGAACAGGAUUAGAUACCCUGGUAGUCCACGCCGUAAACGGUGGGAACUAGGUGUUGGCGACAUUCCACGUCGUCGGUGCCGCAGCUAACGCAUUAAGUUCCCCGC
rnacentral:rRNA from 1 species